UCUGAGGGCAUGGCUGUCGAAGAAGAAAAUGUAGCCAUUGGUGCCAUCUAUCGACCACAGGUUAAAGAUUGACGAUCCGUUGGAUACCGACCGAGUUAUAGGCAAAAUUUGGUGCAAAAAUGACCCUUAGUAAAUUUUCAUUUUUUUGAAUUUUUUGAUUUUUUCAUUAUUUUUCACUCUUUUUUUUAUUUCAAUCAUUAUUUGAGUGAAAAGAAACUCAUUGCAACCAAUUAGCAUUAAAAUAAAACAAUUUUAUUUUUUUUGCAAAAUUUCUCAAAAAAACGUAAGGGGUAAGCCUUAUGAAAUUUUCGAGUUGAAAUUUUUUUGAAAUUUUUUUUUCGAUUUUUUAUUGUUUUUUUAGUUUAAAGCAUUAUUUGAGUGAACAGAAACAUAUUGCAACAAAUUCCCAUUAAAAUAUAUCACAGUUUUCAAUUUUGCUAAAUUGUUCAAAAACAGGGUAAGGAACUUGGUUCCUCGAAUAACUUCUGGCACAGACAUCUGACGGUAUGGCCGUCCAAGAAGAAAAUGUAGCCAUUGGUACCAUCUAUCGACCACAGGUUAAAGAUUGGCGAUCCGUUGGAUACCGACCGAGUUAUAGGUAAAAUUUGGUGCAAAAAUGUGAAAAAUUUUACAUUUUCUCAAACAGGGUAAGGAACUUGGUUCCUCGAAUAUCUUCUGGCACAGACAUCUGAGGGCAUGGCCGUCCAAGAAGAAAAUGUAGCCAUUGGUGCCAUCUAUCGACCACAGGUUAAAGAUUGGCGAUCCGUUGGAUACCGACCGAGUUAUAUGCAAAAUUUCUUGCAAAAAUGACCCUUAGUAAAUUUUCAUUUUUUUGAAUAUUUUGAUUUUUUCAUUAUUUUUCACUCUUUUUUUUAUUUCAAUCAUUAUUUGAGUGAAAGGAAACCCAUUGCAACCAAUUGGCAUUAAAAUAAAACAAUUUUAUUUUUUUUGCAAAAUUUCUCAAAAAAAACGUAAGGGGUAAGCCUUAUGAAAUUUUCGAGUUGAAAUUUUUUUGAAAUUUUUUUUUCGAUUUUUUAUUCUUUUUUCAGUUUAAAGCAUUAUUUGAGUGAAAAGAAACAUAUUGCAACAAAUUCCCAUUAAAAUAUAUCUCAUUUAAAAACUUUGCUAAAUUUUCAAAAACAGGGUAAGGAACUUAGUUCUUCGAAUAACUUCUGGCACAGACAUCUGACGGUAUGGCCGUCCAAGAAGAAAAUGUAGCCAUUGGUGCCAUCUAUCGACCACAGGUUAAAGAUUGGCGAUCCGUUGGAUACCGACCGAGUUAUAGGUAAAAUUUGGUGCAAAAAUGACCCUUAGUAAAUUUUCAUUUUUUUGAAUUUUUUGAUUUUUUCAUUAUUUUUCACUCUUUUUUUAUUUCAAUCAUUAUUUGAGUGAAAGGAAACCCAUUGCAACCAAUUGGCAUUAAAAUAAAACAAUUUUAUUUUUUUUGCAAAAUUUCUCAAAAAAACGUAAGGGGUAAGCCUUAUGAAAUUUUCGAGUUGAAAUUUUUUUGAAAUUUUUUUUUCGAUUUUUUAUUGUUUUUUCAGUUUAAAGCAUUAUUUGAGUGAACAGAAACAUAUUGCAACAAAUUCCCAUUAAAAUAUAUCACAGUUUUCAAUAUUGCUAAAUUGUUCAAAAACAGGGUAAGGAACUUGGUUCCUCGAAUAACUUCUGGCACAGACAUCUGACGGUAUGGCCGUC